rnacentral:rRNA from 1 species
UACGUAGGGUGCGAGCGUUAAUCGGAAUUACUGGGCGUAAAGCGUGCGCAGGCGGUUUUGCAAGCCAGUUGUGAAAUCCCCGGGCUUAACCUGGGAAUGGCAUUUGGGACUGCAAGGCUUGAGUGCGGCAGAGGAGACUGGAAUUCCCGGUGUAGCAGUGAAAUGCGUAGAUAUCGGGAGGAACACCGAUGGCGAAGGCAGGUCUCUGGGCCAUAACUGACGCUGAGAAGCGAAAGCAUGGGGAGCGAACAGG